rnacentral:rRNA from 1 species
GACGAACGCUGGCGGCGUGCCUAAUACAUGCAAGUAGAACGCUGAAGGAGGAGCUUGCUUCUCUGGAUGAGUUGCGAACGGGUGAGUAACGCGUAGGUAACCUGCCUGGUAGCGGGGGAUAACUAUUGGAAACGAUAGCUAAUACCGCAUAAUAGUAGAUGUUGCAUGACAUUUGCUUAAAAGGUGCAAUUGCAUCACUACCAGAUGGACCUGCGUUGUAUUAGCUAGUUGGUGGGGUAACGGCUCACCAAGGCGACGAUACAUAGCCGACCUGAGAGGGUGAUCGGCCACACUGGGACUGAGACACGGCCCAGACUCCUACGGGAGGCAGCAGUAGGGAAUCUUCGGCAAUGGACGGAAGUCUGACCGAGCAACGCCGCGUGAGUGAAGAAGGUUUUCGGAUCGUAAAGCUCUGUUGUAAGAGAAGAACGAGUGUGAGAGUGGAAAGUUCACACUGUGACGGUAUCUUACCAGAAAGGGACGGCUAACUACGUGCCAGCAGCCGCGGUAAUACGUAGGUCCCGAGCGUUGUCCGGAUUUAUUGGGCGUAAAGCGAGCGCAGGCGGUUAGAUAAGUCUGAAGUUAAAGGCUGUGGCUUAACCAUAGUACGCUUUGGAAACUGUUUAACUUGAGUGCAAGAGGGGAGAGUGGAAUUCCAUGUGUAGCGGUGAAAUGCGUAGAUAUAUGGAGGAACACCGGUGGCGAAAGCGGCUCUCUGGCUUGUAGCUGACGCUGAGGCUCGAAAGCGUGGGGAGCAAACAGG